rnacentral:rRNA from 1 species
ACGGUAGAGGUAGCAAUACCUUGAGAGUGGCGAACGGGUGAGUAACACGUAGGUGAUCUGCCUUUGGGAGGGGGAUAGUCCAUGGAAACAUGGGGUAAUACCCUAUGAGGCCUGUGCCGCUGGGUGCAGGUGAAAGGUGCAAUUGUACCGCCUGAAGAUGAGCCUGCGGCUUAUUAGCUAGUUGGUGAGGUAAUGGCCCACCAAGGCGACGAUAAGUAGCCGGCCUGAGAGGGUGUACGGCCACACUGGGACUGAGACACGGCCCAGACUCCUACGGGAGGCAGCAGCUAAGAAUCUUCCGCAAUGGACGAAAGUCUGACGGAGCGACGCCGCGUGGAUGAUGAAGGCCGAGAGGUUGUAAAAUCCUUUUCUUGGUGAAGAAUAAGAAUUGGAGUGGAAUGCCAGUUUGAUGACGUUAGCCAAGGAAUAAGCUCCGGCCAAUUACGUGCCAGCAGCCGCGGUAACACGUAAGGAGCGAGCGUUGUUCGGAAUUAUUGGGCGUAAAGGGCGUGUAGGCGGUUACGUAAGACUGAUGUAAAAGGCACUGGCUCAACCAGUGAGUUGCGUUGGUAACUGCGUAGCUAGAGUUCAGAAGAGGGAAUUGGAAUUCCAGGUGUAGGGGUGAAAUCUGUAGAUAUCUGGAAGAACGCCAAAGA